rnacentral:rRNA from 1 species
AUUGAACGCUGGCGGCAUGCCUUACACAUGCAAGUCGAACGGCAGCACGGGAGCAAUCCUGGUGGCGAGUGGCGAACGGGUGAGUAAUGUAUCGGAACGUACCUUUCAGUGGGGGAUAACGUAGCGAAAGUUACGCUAAUACCGCAUAUUCUGUGAGCAGGAAAGCAGGGGAGUCGCAAGACCUUGCGCUGAUUGAGCGGCCGAUAUCAGAUUAGCUAGUUGGUGGGGUAAAGGCCUACCAAGGCUACGAUCUGUAGCGGGUCUGAGAGGAUGAUCCGCCACACUGGAACUGAGACACGGUCCAGACUCCUACGGGAGGCAGCAGUGGGGAAUUUUGGACAAUGGGCGCAAGCCUGAUCCAGCCAUGCCGCGUGAGUGAAGAAGG